rnacentral:lncRNA from 1 species
ACUCUGUGCUUCUUAUUGUAACGACGUCGUUUGCUGUUAUUGUGGGGUUGUUGGUAUUGUCGUGGAAGAGAUCGUCGGAUCGGAGCAAAGAGCUGAAACCUGUGGUGAUUCCUAAGUCGCUUUCAGUGAAGGACGAGGAGGAUGAGGCUGAGCUUGCGGGUAGAAUUAAGGUUACUAUCUUUUAUGGGACUCAGACUGGAACAGCUGAGGGCUUUGCUAAGGUAUGAUCAUUUUCUUUUAAUAUGAUAAUGAGAUUGUUUGUUUCGUUUUUGGUCUGGCCUUUGAUUAUGGAUUGGUGUUUGGGGAUUUGGCUGGAUUGGUUAAAAGAGAACGAGAAUUGAUCUGCGUGGCUGUGGAUGAAGGUUUGUUUGGCAGUCAAAGUUAGGGGAUUAUUUUGGCUGAUGUGAAAUCCGAAUUUAGUAUUUGGUUAACAGCGGCUAAUAAGAACUGCCCGAUAUGGUCUGGAUUUUUAACUUAGUUUUUGGGUGAUAGAAUUUGGCGUUGAACUUUGAAACGAGUUAAUGAGCUGAAUCUAAUUUUAUGGGCAUUCUUUGACAAGCUUGGAAGUUGGAAGUGGUUUUGUCAAUUUCGAGAAAAAAGCAUUAAGAGCCACUUUCCGAUUGUAUGUUAAGAUCGAUGACUUCAAGCUACACCUUGGAACUUGACCUCUGGGAGAAAAUUGCGAUAAUAUUAACUUUUCAACAUUAUGGGUUUUGAUAGAUGAAAAACUAGUUAAAUGGAGGAUUUUAAUGUGCAUAUUAACUUUAUUAGCUUUUUGUUCUUUGUUCUUUGUUCUUUGUUCUUGUUGUGUCUAUUGAUUCCAUGGUAUUGGCAUCCUUGUAUGCAUGAUUAUGGUAUCAAUUUUGGUUGAAGGCCUCAAUCAUUGCUAAGGUGGGGUACAUAGGGGCUGAUAUGUGUAGCUUAAUUUUAUGAUUUCAAGAGACCCUGCAGCUAAGUUCCAUAAAAUUUGGAGUGGAGCCUUACAGAAAGUGAUGGCAUAGUGUAAAAAUUGCAUGUGCGUUGCUGGGGAUACAAGUACAACAGAUGAUUAACUCUUUGGAUAGAUGUAAUCUUCUGUUUGUCAUGUGUUGUGUUUUUGAUGUUCGGUGUUAUAAUUGGAGAGCAGCUGCAGAAUCGUGUAUUUAGCAUUGUCUUAGAGCACCCCUAUUUUGUAUUAUUUAAGCUUUUAAUUAUUGCUUUCCCUAAUUAUUAUUGCAGGCCUUAGCUGAGGAGAUCAAGGCAAGGUAUGAGAAAGCAGCUGUUAAAGUUGUUGACCUGGUAUGUUCAUGGGAUUGUUGAAUAAGAGUGUGAAGUUGAAUGAGAAAAUUGCUUCCUUGGAUUGUAGCUGUAGAAUUAUUAUUAUUAUGAUUAUUUUUCUGUAAUUUGGUUUGAAUUAGGAUGAUUAUGCUAUGGAUGAUGAUCAAUAUGAAGAAAAAUUGAAGAAGGAAACGCUGGCAUUGUUCAUGGUUGCCACGUAAGGCAACUCUUUUCAUUAAUGGGCCUUUUGCAUACAUAAAUCAUAUGAUUGUUCUUUUAGGAAAUGAUGCUUUUUUUGUGGUUGUGUUCAACAUUGCAGUUAUGGAGAUGGAGAGCCAACUGAUAAUGCUGCAAGAUUUUAUAAGUGGUUUACUGAGGUUGGUGAUUUUGUUAAGAUUCUAACACUGAAUAACAUUCCAAGACACAUUUUAUUGCCUUCUGUAUCUGGCAUUUUUUUUUCAUGCAUGAUGAUGGUGAUUUAAUUUCAGGAAAGUGAAAGGGGAGUUUGGCUUCAACAGCUCACUUAUGGUGUUUUUGGCUUGGGUAACCGUCAAUAUGAACAUUUUAACAAGGUAAAUAUAACAGGAUAUGUUGUUCUUUUCCUUCUUAUCAUUAUUUUAUAAUUUGAUGGAAUGUCUUUGCAAAACAGAUAGCAAAGGUGCUUGAUGAACAACUCAGUGAACAAGGUACAAAUAUUCAUAUUUCAUUCUCAUUUUUUACCCGGUGUUUUGUUCAUUUGCUUGUUUGUUUUCCCUUGAUGGUUAGUAGAGUUUGUGUUAUUGAGCCAUAUUAAAUCUUGUUAAUUGCCCAAAUGUAGCAAAUAUUUUUGUUAAAUGGUUUCAUCUUUUCUAAAUGUCCUUUUAAUUUUUGAAUCUAAGAGCCAUGCCUUGGCUUUGAAUCCAUCAAUGUACCAAGCGAGUAAUGAGGUGAAAAAGCUUUAAAAUUCUAGUCACUUUAGUUUUCAAAGCCAGAGAAAUUUAGAUUUAUGGAACUUGUAGGAUUUUAUAUGGGAAGAUUGUCAUAUAUACUGGUUUUAAAUGUUACAUCUUGAAAACAAAGAGAGUGCAGAAUAAAGUUGCAAAUUUUUGGUUCCAAAAAAAAAUAUCCCCCAAUAAAAAUAACCAAGGUCCUGAAUAUCAUUCAGCAUAGUUGCAUAAGUCAUAAACUCUGGUCUUACCAUGUUCAUAAAAGCAUCAGCUUCCCAAUAAUAAUCUCCAUCAAAUAAUUAAAUGAAUAUAGCAUGCAAAAUCUGGAAAAGGGAUAAAUAAUUAACUAAAUUCUUUUUCUCCAAGAUGGUUAUAUGAACUCUGGUCUUACCAUGUUAGCAUAUUGGUGUAUGAUUAUUAGACUAGGAGCAUAUAAAAUAUUUCCCUGAAACUUGUGUCUGAAAUUCUUUUUUCUUUUCUAUUGUGGGCACUUAAAAGAAGGGCAGGGGGAGGGAGGGUUUAAAUUUGGAAGCCUCGUCACCUUGUUGGCUUUGCUGUGUGGUAGAUGUUAAUAUCCAUUCUUGUAAUUUCACUUUUGCGAAGACAGUUGAUACGAAGUCAAUAUAAUGUUUUACUACUGUUCUUCUCUGCUUGUGAGUUUUUGCAACCACUUCCAUUUGUAGCUUAUAGUAUCAUACUUAUAGUGUAUUUCAUUCUUGUGCUCCUUUUGGAAGGUGAUUUAACUGUAUUCCACAUACAUAGACAUUCACAACUAGUUCUGCAUCUGGCAAUGGUUAGUGCUUGUUAUUAGGGGUGUGCAAUUGGUGGGUACCGAACCCAACCAACAUAACUGAAAACCAAAUUUUAUUUAUAAGUAAAAAUUGAAUCUAACUGAACAAUAUAUACAACCGAAUCGAACUGAACUGUAGUAAAUCGGUUUGAUUCAGUUUGAAAAUUCUGUUCCUUUCAAAUCUCAAACUUCAUAUGGUCAACCCUCAACUUAAAGUCAGAUUUCCCAGAAAAUUCCAACAAAAGUAAAAACUAUAUAAACAAAUUUUCAUUAACAAAAUACAUUAAUUCAAAAUCACAAGCUUUCAAAUGAGAUAAAAUUACAUAAAAUAAAAAAAAAUCAAGGGAAAAGAAUGGAGAAGUUGUGGCCAUAGUGCUUCUAUCUAAUGUCCUAUUGCUCUAAGGUGCUUCAACGAUGAGCGAGGGAGGCUGAGCAAUGCUGCUGCGGCCUUGACAAGCAAGCUGCCUCAGUUGCACGGCAAGCAAGGCUGAUGUUGAUGCUGCUUCCAGGGUGCCGCUUGUUGCCUUCCGCGAUUGACGUUCACUAGUGGAUGGAGAAGAUUAGAGUGGAAAUAUGGAUGGAGCAUUGAAAUGGGUAAGAAACAAAAGGAAGAGUUUGUGAGAGAGAUGGGGGAUGGGAAAGGGUAUAGGUGGCAGCAGCAAAAAAAGAAAGAAGAAAAUAGGGUUUUCUGAUUUAUGAAAUAAUAAAUUUAUAGCAACCCUUGAAUGGCUGAGAUUUAAGUAUAUUAAAUGGAUUGUCAUAUUUAAUUUUCAAAAAUUGGAAAACAAGAGACAGUGGUGUUUGCGAGUCUCGAGCCUUGUAUUCACAAAAACUAGUGAAAAGUUCCAACCACUAAGCUAAAUUGAGAAUUAUUAUAAGAAUCAUCUUCAAAAUAUUUUAUUGGGGUUCGGUUUGGUUUUUCUGAAAUCUAUUUUUCCAAAACCGAAAGGACCUAUUUAUUUCGAAAUUUUUAAAAAGCCGAAACAAAAUUUUAAAAUUAAUUGGUUCGAUCGCUUUAUUCGGUUUGAACCGAAUAGUGCUCACCCCUAUUUGUUAUCAUGUUUUUUUUUGUCGAGUUACUCAAUGGUUUGAAGUUAAAAUGAUAUUAUUCAUUUUAAUAUGAUAGAUACAUCUUUGUGGUUGAAAUAGGUGCAAAACGCCUCAUUCCUGUUGGACUUGGAGACGAUGAUCAAUGCAUUGAAGAUGAUUUUACUGCUUGGUAUACUAUGUAGUUAGAUUUGAACAUUCAUUAGUCUAUAGUCUUGCAAUAUAAAUUCAAGUCCAUGCCUUCUCCAUCCUUGAGAGUAUGAAGCUUUUACGAUUAUAUGUUGUAUCAACUGCACGUUGGUUUUCUCUAGGAGAGAAUUAUUAUGGCCUGAGUUAGACCAGUUACUCAGAGAUGAAGAUGAUGGGAAUGGUGGGUCUACUCCAUAUACAGCUGCAAUACCUGAAUACCGAGUGGUGAUUCAUGAUACCUCUGUUACAUAUUGUGAGGAUAAAUCGACAUACUUGGCAAAUGGGAAUACUUCAUUUGACAUUCACCACCCAUGCAGGUAUUUAUCGUUUGCGUUUGUCAUUUAUUACACUAAUUGUUUACUGAUAUAGAAAAGGACAAGCAUCAUUUUAAUACACAAAUUAGUGAUAUGUUAUUUUUCUUUCUCUAUAGGGUUAAUGUUUCUGUCCAAAAGGAGCUCCACAAAUCUGAGUCAGACCGCUCUUGCAUACAUCUGGAGUUUGAUCUAUCAGGGACUGGUAUUAUGUGAGUUUUUUUUUUCCAAAAGAUGGUACACAAAAAUUAAUCAGUGAACAGCUAGCAUGUUCUAUUUUCCACUUCAUGUAUUUUUGUGAUCCUUUUCAAUACAAUUAUUAAGAAACUACUUCCAACUUGAUACAAGAAGAAACAAUUUUAAUAUUCUACAACCUGCGUUCUCUGGCUUGAUGUGGAAUUAUUGAUACAUGAUUUAUUCUCAGCCUUUUUGUUUAUCUAUUGGAAUGCAUAGUUGACCUUAUAUUGAUCUUAAUGAUAUUUGCUUAUAACCAGUAUGCUUUAGCUCAGUUGUAUGGGUUCAUCUUUAGGGAUGCGCUAUCUUAGGUUUGAGUCCCAAUUGAAUCAAAAUGAACCACAAAAGGUUGCUUAUACUUUUUCUUUUCUAUUUAUUUGUUUUUUUAGAUAUGAAACUGGGGACCAUGUGGGUGUUUAUGCUGAAAAUAGUGAUGAAACUGUUGAAGCAGCAGGGAAGUUGUUAGGUCAACCCUUAGGUUUGCUAUUUUCUGUCCACACUGACAAGGAAGAUGGCACAUCACUUGGAAGCUCAUUGCCUCCUGCUUUCCCAGGGCCUUGCACCCUUCGAUCUGCUUUGGCACGUUAUGCAGAUCUGUUGAAUCCUCCUCGAAAGGUGAUAUUUGGCACAUUGCUAGUUAGUCUGUCUGCUAUCUCCUCCUCUCGGUGUGUUGAUAUUGUAACACUAAUUUAUUUACUGUAUUGUGUUGUCACUUGUCAGGCUUCUUUGAUUGCUUUGGCUGCUCAUGCCAGUGAACCCAGUGAGGCAGAAAGACUAAAAUUCCUUUCGUCACCGCAGGGGAAGGUCUCUGAAGCAUUUAUGUCCUUUUCUUAUUAUUUGCUCUUGUGAGUCAUCUUUGUCUGUUCUUGGCUUCUUGCUUAUGCUUGUCAUUCUUUUUUGUUAUCCAGGAUGAGUACUCCCAAUGGGUUGUUGCAAGUCAGAGAAGCCUUCUUGAGGUAAUGGCUGAGUUCCCAUCUGCAAGACCUCCACUGGGUGUAUUUUUUGCAGCAGUGGCUCCUCGCCUACAGCCUCGCUACUAUUCAAUCUCAUCCUCCCCAAGGUUAUUUACUGCUUGUAAUUGAGAAUUUUAAAAUGCAUUUUUGUCUAAUAAAGCAAAAUCCUAAUUCCCCAUCAUACCCUCUGCAGAUUUGCUUCCAAUAGAGUACAUGUCACAUGUGCUUUAGUUUAUGGUCCAACACCAUCCGGUAGAACUCACAAAGGGGUGUGCUCAACCUGGAUGAAGGUAGUGUAUCCUUAAAUAUAUUUUAUGCUACUGGACUCUUCUUUCCACACUUUUUGAUGUUAUUGCUUCAUGUGCACUACCCUAGUAACAUUUUUGCUUUUGUACUAACACCUGCUUCUAACGUGAAAAAAAAAAAAAUCAGAAUGCAAUUCCUCUGGAGAAAAGUAGUGCCUGUAGCUGGGCACCGAUUUUCAUUAGGACAUCUAAUUUCAAGUUACCAUCUGAUCCUUCAAUUCCAAUCAUCAUGGUGGGACCUGGUACCGGAUUGGCACCCUUUAGAGGAUUUCUACAGGUUUGGAAUCACUUCCUGAUUGUGGGUUCUAUUAUUUCUUAUCUGAAGAAGAAACUAAUAAUUGUUUCUUUCAGGAAAGAAUGGCCCUGAAAGAGGAAGGUGCUCAGCUUGGUCCUGCACUGCUUUUCUUUGGAUGUAGAAAUCGUCGAAUGGUUAGCAUCUUUUUCAUGCAUGACUCUUCGUUGGAUAAUUACCCAUACAUUGCAAUCCUAUGCUCAAUGAUCCAGUGGUGUUUCUUUACAGGAUUUCAUAUACGAGGAUGAGCUUAAUAAUUUUGUGGAGCAAGGUGUGAUUUCUGAGCUGAUUGUUGCAUUCUCUAGGGAGGGGCCACAAAAGGAGUAUGUUCAGCAUAAGAUGCUAGAAAAAGUAAGUACUUUCGUACUGCAAAUCAAUGUCCUUGACAAUCUGAAGACAUAAUUUAUAUUGUGUUAUUUAAUGCAACAGGCAGCACAAAUAUGGAGCAUAAUUUCUCAGGGAGGAUAUCUUUAUGUGUGUGGCGAUGCCAAGGGUAUGGCUAGAGAUGUUCAUCGGACUUUGCAUACGAUUGUUCAGGAGCAGGUAUUUCUUAUAGCCCAGUGCCUUUUAUUUUGCUCUCGUUUCCUUUUGUGCAUGCUUGCUAGAGUUUCCUGUUUUAGUAGAGUUGUUAAGUGGUCUCCAUGGGAAUUUCUGUUGUAUGAAAUGCGGCCACUCCAGUACUUGAAAUUAUCUUUGUUUGCUCCCAAUAUCACAUGCCUGUAAUUUUUGUAUUUCAGGGGAAUUUGGAUUCGUCAAAGACGGAGUCUAUGGUUAAGAAACUCCAGAUGGAUGGACGAUAUUUGAGAGAUGUUUGGUGACAGCUAUACUUCUCACAUUCAAUCUUAUGGUUGUUUGCAGUGACAUUGAAGCAUAGUAUAGCAUUGGGUUUAUUCAUCUACUUUCUCAAGCGUCUUGACCACUCAUAUAUCUUCCAUCCUGGAGUUGUAGCAACGAUGGAAGCUGAAACUUUAUUUCCUUUAAAAACUGAAAUUAUGUAGUCUUGAUGCCUUUUCAUCCUCUUGAACUUUUCUUUUACAAAUACAUCUCCAAAAUGGAAAAAUUCAAACAGGCAGAGCGGGUAGGAAGUAGCAAAGUGGCAAUAGUCGCUCACAGGUGGCUUGUAUGUUGAUGUAGUCAAAUAUGGUAGUGCAGAAUAAAUUGAAGAUUAAAAUUGUUCUUCAGAAUGUGUUUGUGGUGCACUUGUACCUUUGUUUUAUGAUGGGUCAGAAAUUUUCAAGAAUGUAUAGAUUUUGAAGUGAAAUUAUUAGAUGGAUUCGAUUCAGUAUAAAUCAAGAUCAUAAAAAUAAUGGGUUGUAUGUAAUUUUUUGAUGGAGUGAUCUAUUUAUUUGUGUUUUGGAUGUGAUGGAUUAAAUUCUAUUCGUAAACCUAUAUUUUUUAUCCCCGCAUAUUUUCAUUUUUAAUAUAAAAAAUAAGUUAAUUUCUAUUAAGUAUUUAUUUUAUUUUUAUUGCUCUUGAUGAAUUAGACAUGAUAUCUUAAAAAAAAUUAAGUAAAUGUUUUAUUAAAAUUGGGAAAUAUUGCAACCUCAUUGAAAUGUUGAUUAAAAUAUAUAAAAGAUUAUGUACUCUUGUUACAUUAAAAUAUAAUAUAUUUAAAUAUUAAUAAUAUUAAAACAUAAAUAAAUAAAUGUUAUUUGAUUGUAACUUAUUCAUAAUAAUGGCAAUUUAUUAUAGUAUUAAGAAGUUACUAAAUACUGUGUAACUCAAUCACAAUUUAAAGUAAUUGAAUAACUAGUUAAUAAAAUUAAAUAAUUUAUUUUAUAAAAAAAUCAUCCUUAUAUUUGUGGGUGUGGGAGUCUGUGUAAUGAUUAUGACAUUUUAAAACUUCUAAUUUCGUUUAAUUAAAUUAUUAAUUGCUUCAAAAAUAAUUCACUAAAAUAUGAUUCAAUUGGGAAUAGCCUUUUUUUUUAAACAACAAAUAUUUUUCUUUAAUCUUAUAACUCAUAUAUAAUAUUUGAUAAAGUACAUUAAAAAUUUGUCAUAAAUGAGAAAAAAAAAUGCAAAAUUAGUUCAUUAAAAAAAUAUGAUUCAAUCAUUAGCAAAUAUAAAUUUUUUAUUUCUCUUUUGAAACAGCAAAUAUUCUUCUUUAAUCUUAUAAUUGAUAUAUAAUAUUUUAUAAAUACAUUAAAAAGUUGUAAAAAAAUAUGAAAAAUGUGCAAAUAUUAAAUAAAAAAUAUUAUUACUUUAGAUAAAACAAUAAUAUAUUUGACAAAGUACAUUAAAAGUUUGUCAUAAAGGAGAAAAAAUCAUUAAAAAAAAUAUAUUAAAUAAAGAUAAACGAGUCACAAAAAUGUACAUUAAAUAAAGAAUAAUAUUACUUUUGAUAGAAAGAAGUUAUUUGACAAAGUACAUUGAAAAUUUGUGGUAGAAGAUUAAAAAAUAUAAAAAAAUGUAUAUUGAACCAUUAUUAAUAUUACUUUUAGUAAAAAAUAAUAUAAUGAUUUUCAAUUAAAACCACGAAUAUAAAUUGUUAAAAAAUACUACAACCUAAAAGUCUUAAAAGAAUCUAAAAAAUGGCUUUUCUAAAAAUAAUUUUUUUUUUGAAAUUUAAUUAUUGAAAAUCCUAUUUUCUUGUAGAUAUAUGUGCGUAUUUAAAUUAUAAUAUUAAAUUUAAUAUUACUUUAUACGUAUAAACGUUCGUAAGUACUUCUCAUAAAUGUUAUAUAUUAAUUAUAGGAUCGAUGAAUAAAAUUCUUACUGAUGCCAGUUACUGAACCAAUUUAAGAAAAAAAAAACAAUUUAAUUAAAAUUAAGAAAAUUUUAUCCAUUUAAUAUAUAUAAAAACUAUAAAUAAAAAAAUAUUGAAAGUCAUAAAAAUAAUUUUAAAAAUUUAUUAAUAUCAAAAUAGUUUUAUCAAAUGAAAAUAUUAGGCAUCUGAUUAAUAUUUACUUUAAUUAUUAAAUAUUUUAUAUAAUUUCAAAAGUUUAAAGAUUAUAUUUCUUAAAAAUAGUAAAAAAAUAAAUUAUAUUUAUAAAAAUAAAAUUAGAAAUAUAUACAAUAUUAACUUGUAUAUAUAUAAAAUUUUAAAAUAAACUAUAUUAAAUAAUGUUUGAAUGUAAUUAAAGUAAAAUAAAAUAAUAUAUAUUAUUAAUUGCAUUAAAAUAAAAUAAAUUAUAUAUUAAAAAAUCUUAUCUUAUUUUAUGUUACCUCUACCCAAAUAGGGUAUAAGAAUUUUAUUUCUUAGCCGUAUUUCUCCCAAGUUGUAGACAGCGGAUAAGUGGAAAAGGGUCCUUUUUCUCACCUCCCUUUGGCGCAGGUAAAGAGAGAGAGGGAGAGAGAGCAUUAAGCCAUUAAUAAUAUUUCAGAAUAAAAAAGGCGUACAAUGUCAAAACUUUUAGCUCGCGGCUGCCAUAGGGACACGAACUCCGCCACACUUCCAGGGCAGACGCCACAGAACUUAGCAUAAGCGAGCUCUUUUCCUCCCUUUCUAUUUAUUUAUUUAUUUCAAUAAAAAAAAUAAAACAACUGGUCAAGAUCUCAGUGGUCCCGUCUCCAUAUAUCAAACCUACUUCUCCUUGUCUCCACCGUCUCUCUCUUCUCCCACCCAACGCUCUCCGCUUACCCCCCCCCAUCUUUUAGGGCUCAUUCUCCAAAGCCACAAAGAAAAAAAAAAACUGAACCCAAACCAUAACCAAAACUGAAGCCGAGUAUUUCAAGGCUUUGGAUUUUUUUUUUUCAGUAUUGAAUUGUUUUUGGUUUGGAUUUGGAUUAUAGAUCGAGAUGAGUUCCAGUUCGGAUUUGGUAAGCUUCGUUGAGUCGUUGCUCGGAGUCUCGCUCGGUGGUUCUGUGUCUGACUCCGUGCUACUUAUGAUAACGACGUCGUUUGCUGUUAUUGUGGGGUUGUUGGUGUUAUCGUGGAAGAGAUCGUCGGAUCGGAGCAAAGAGCUGAAACCUGUAGUGAUUCCUAAGUCGCUUGCAGUGAAGGACGAGGAGGAUGAGGCUGAGGCUCUUGCCGGUAAAACUAAGGUUACUAUCUUUUAUGGGACUCAGAC